CGGACAGAAGCCCGCUGGAUUGGGUGUUUAGCUGUUAAUUAAUUUUUUGCGGGAUCGAGGCCCGCCUGUCUAG
rnacentral:tRNA from 1 species